rnacentral:rRNA from 1 species
AAUGGGCGAAGCCUGACGGAGCGACACCGCGUGUAGGAUGAAGGCUCUAGGGUUGUAAACUACUGUCACGCCAUAGGAAUGCCCUGUUUUAAGAAUGCAGGGUUGACAAAGGAAAGGAAGCACCGGCUAACUCCGUGCCAGCAGCCGCGGUAAGACGGAGGGUGCAAACGUUGUUCGGAAUCAUUGGGCAUAAAGGGCACGCAGGCGGCCCAGUCAGUCAGUUGUGAAAGCCCACGGCUCAACCGUGGAACUGCAUCUGAUACUGCUGGGCUAGAGAAUGGUUGGGGUGAGUGGAACUCCUGGUGGAGCGGUGAAAUGCGUAGAUAUCAGGAGGAACACCAGUGGCGAAGGCGGCUCACUGGACCAUUACUGACGCUGAGGUGCGAAAGCUAGGGUAGCGAACGGGAUU